UACGUAGGGGGCUAGCGUUGUCCAGAAUCAUUGGGCGUAAAGAGCGUGUAGGCGGCUCGGUAAGUCCGCUGUGAAAGUCCAGGGCUCAACCCUGGAAUGCCAGUGGAAACUGUCGAGCUAGAGUCCGGAAGAGGCGAGUGGAAUUCCUGGUGUAGCGGUGAAAUGCGCAGAUAUCAGGAGGAACACCAAUGGCGAAGGCAGCUCGCUGGGACGGUACUGACGCUGAGACGCGAAAGCGUGGGGAGCAAACAGG
rnacentral:rRNA from 1 species